rnacentral:rRNA from 1 species
AACGAACGCUGGCGGCAUGCCUAACACAUGCAAGUCGAACGAGACCUUCGGGUCUAGUGGCGCACGGGUGCGUAACGCGGGGGAACCUGCCCUUAGGUUCGGAAUAACUCCCCGGAAGGGGUGCUAAUACCGGAUAAUGUCUUCGGACCAAAGAUUUAUCGCCUUUGGAUGGGCCCGCGUUGGAUUAGCUAGUUGGUAGGGUAAAAGCCUACCAAGGCGACGAUCCAUAGCUGGUCUGAGAGGAUGAUCAGCCACACUGGGACUGAGACACGGCCCAGACUACUACGGGAGGCAGCAGUGGGGAAUAUUGGACAAUGGGCGAAAGCAUGAUCCAGCAAUGCCGCGUGAGUGAUGAAGGCCUUAGGGUUGUAAAGCUCUUUUACCCGGGAUGAUAAUGACAGUACCGGGAGAAUAAGCUCCGGCUAACUCCGUG